rnacentral:rRNA from 1 species
UCGAGCGGUAGAGAGAAGCUUGCUUCUCUUGAGAGCGGCGGACGGGUGAGUAAUGCCUAGGAAUCUGCCUGGUAGUGGGGGAUAACGUUCGGAAACGGACGCUAAUACCGCAUACGUCCUACGGGAGAAAGCAGGGGACCUUCGGGCCUUGCGCUAUCAGAUGAGCCUAGGUCGGAUUAGCUAGUUGGUGGGGUAAUGGCUCACCAAGGCGACGAUCCGUAACUGGUCUGAGAGGAUGAUCAGUCACACUGGAACUGAGACACGGUCCAGACUCCUACGGGAGGCAGCAGUGGGGAAUAUUGGACAAUGGGCGAAAGCCUGAUCCAGCCAUGCCGCGUGUGUGAAGAAGGUCUUCGGAUUGUAAAGCACUUUAAGUUGGGAGGAAGGGUUGUAGAUUAAUACUCUGCAAUUUUGACGUUACCGACAGAAUAAGCACCGGCUAACUCUGUGCCAGCAGCCGCGGUAAUACAGAGGGUGCAAGCGUUAAUCGGAAUUACUGGGCGUAAAGCGCGCGUAGGUGGUUUGUUAAGUUGGAUGUGAAAUCCCCGGGCUCAACCUGGGAACUGCAUUCAAAACUGACUGACUAGAGUAUGGUAGAGGGUGGUGGAAUUUCCUGUGUAGCGGUGA